rnacentral:rRNA from 1 species
GACGAACGCUGGCGGCGUGCUUAACACAUGCAAGUCGAACGGAAAGGCCUCUUUCGGGGGGUACUCGAGUGGCGAACGGGUGAGUAACACGUGAGUAACCUGCCCUUGACUUUGGGAUCACUUCAGGAAACUGGGGCUAAUACCGGAUAGGAGCUCCUGCUGCAUGGUGGGGGUUGGAAAGUUUCGGCGGUUGGGGAUGGACUCGCGGCUUAUCAGCUUGUUGGUGGGGUAGUGGCUUACCAAGGCUUUGACGGGUAGCCGGCCUGAGAGGGUGACCGGCCACAUUGGGACUGAGAUACGGCCCAGACUCCUACGGGAGGCAGCAGUGGGGAAUAUUGCACAAUGGGUGGAAGCCUGAUGCAGCAACGCCGUGUGCGGGAUGACGGCCUUCGGGUUGUAAACCGCUUUCGCUCAUGACGAAGCUUUGUGUGACGGUAGUGGGUAAAGAAGCACCGGCUAACUACGUG